AAUAGAUACCCGGGUAGUCUACGCCGUAAACGAUGAGUGCUAAGUGUUAGAGGGUUUCCGCCCUUUAGUGCUGCAGCUAACGCAUUAAGCACUCCGCCUGGGGAGUACGGUCGCAAGACUGAAACUCAAAGGAAUUGACGGGGGCCCGCACAAGCGGUGGAGCAUGUGGUUUAAUUCGAAGCAACGCGAAGAACCUUACCAGGUCUUGACAUCCCACUGACCGGUAUAGAGAUAUACCUUUCCCUUCGGGGACAGUGGUGACAGGUGGUGCAUGGUUGUCGUCAGCUCGUGUCGUGAGAUGUUGGGUUAAGUCCCGCAACGAGCGCAACCCUUGAUCUUAGUUGCCAGCAUUUAGUUGGGCACUCUAAGGUGACUGCCGGUGACAAACCGGAGGAAGGUGGAAUGACGUCAAAUCAUCAUGCCCCUUAUGACCUGGGCUACACACGUGCUACAAUGGAUGGUACAAAGGGCUGCAAGACUGCGAAGUCAAGCCAAUCCCAUAAAACCAUUCUCAGUUCGGAUUGCAGG
rnacentral:rRNA from 1 species